rnacentral:tRNA from 1 species
GCCUGGGUGGCUCAGUUGGUUGAGCAUCCGACUUCGGCUCAGGUCAUGAUCUCGCAGUUUGAGGGUUCGAGCCCCAUAUCGGGCU